rnacentral:rRNA from 1 species
UGUGCUAAUACCGCAUAAUCUCUCAGGAGAAAAGCAGGGGAUCGCAAGACCUUGCGCUUUAGGAGCGGCCGAUGCCUGAUUAGCUUGUUGGUAAGGUAAAAGCUUACCAAGGCUUCGAUCAGUAGCUGGUCUGAGAGGACGACCAGCCACACUGGGACUGAGACACGGCCCAGACUCCUACGGGAGGCAGCAGUGGGGAAUUUUGGACAAUGGGGAAACCCUGAUCCAGCCAUGCCGCGUGAGUGAAGAAGGCCUUCGGUUGUAAAGCUCUUUCAGCCGGAACGAAACGG